rnacentral:rRNA from 1 species
ACUCCUACGGGAGGCAGCAGUGAGGAAUAUUGGUCAAUGGACGCAAGUCUGAACCAGCCAUGCCGCGUGAAGGAUGAAGGCCUUCUGGGUUGUAAACUUCUUUUAUCAGGGAAGAAAUUACGGUUUCUACUGUAACCGACGGUACCUGAGGAAUAAGCACCGGCUAACUCCGUGCCAGCAGCCGCGGUAAUACGGAGGGUGCAAGCGUUAUCCGGAUUCACUGGGUUUAAAGGUGUGUAGGCGGGCUAUUAAGUCAGUGGUGAAAUCUCCGGGCUCAACCC